rnacentral:misc_RNA from 1 species
CCUUAAAAGGAUUAGUGGACUCGUCUGAAGGCUGGUUUGACUCGGCGUAAUAAGUAUUUCGCUGAGGACAUCUUCGUGCAGGGGAUGGCCAGUUGGAAGGGCUCUAUGUCUGCUCUCUAACACUGAUGGAUUGGGUCUCGGCCCUCUUCUCACCUUCAUGAUCUGGCCUCAAAUCAGGUAGGACUACCCGCUGAACUUAA